GGAGGCGGCGCGCACCUGGACGCUGGAAAAAAGGUGCGUAAAUUAACUUUUUAAAACAGAGGCAAGGGAGGCCGGUGACCUAAAAUGUGUUUUUAGAACGAUAGUGUCAGGAGUACAUGUUUGUAUGCCUGACGCUAUAGUGUUCCUUUAAUAAUUUCUACAUAUCAAGGUCAAUUUAAGAAAACUAAAUCAAAAUAGAUUCAUUAAUUAGCCCUGACUGAUAAAAUGCCCAGUAUGUCGAGGGUUUCAGUUAAUUUUUAGAAUCUAAAAAUUAACUAAAACUCUAGACAUACUUGGCAUUUGCAAGGAAUUCAUUAUGGGUUUAAAACCUGUCACUUUUAAGUAUUUCAUAAGGAUAUAUUCUUUGUGAAAUACUGAUUAAGACUUUUAAUUUCAUUGACAGUCCAAUGCAAUCCAAAGAUACCCUAAGACAAGGUAGGAACUAUUUUAUCU